rnacentral:rRNA from 1 species
CAGCCGCCGCGGUAAUACGUAGGGUGCAAGCGUUAAUCGGAAUUACUGGGCGUAAAGCGUGCGCAGGCGGUGUUGUAAGACUGAUGUGAAAUCCCCGGGCUCAACCUGGGAACUGCAUUGGUGACUGCAACGCUGGAGUGCGGCAGAGGGGGAUGGAAUUCCGCGUGUAGCAGUGAAAUGCGUAGAGAUCGGAAGGAACAUCUGUGGCGAAGGCGACUAUCUGGGCCAACACUGACACUGAGGCACGAAAGCGUGGGGAGCAAACAGGAUUAGAGACCCCCGUAGUCCCUGUCUCUUAUAC